rnacentral:rRNA from 1 species
UAGGGAAUAUUGCAAAAUGGGCGAAAGCCCGAUGCAGCAACGCCGCGUGGGCGAUGAAGGCCUUCGGGUCGUAAAGCCCUUUUUGAGGGGAUGAGGAAGGACAGUACCCUCAGAAUAAGCCUCGGCUAACUACGUGCCAGCAGCCGCGGUAAAACGUAGGAGGCGCGCGUUAUCCGGAUUUACUGGGCGUAAAUCGCGUGCAGGCGGAUUGGAGAGUUGGAUGUGAAAGCUCCCGGCUUAACUGGGAGAGGUCGUUCAAUACUUCCAGUCUUGAGUGCAGUAGAGGGAAGUGGAAUUCCGGGUGUAGUGGUGAAAUGCGUAGAUAUCCGGAGGAACACCAGUGGCGAAAGCGGCUUCCUGGACUGUAACUGACGCUCAGACGCGAAAGCUAGGGUAGCAAACG